CCUACGGGGGGCUGCAGUGAGGAAUAUUGGUCAAUGGACGAGAGUCUGAACCAGCCAAGUAGCGUGAAGGAUGACUGCCCUAUGGGUUGUAAACUUCUUUUAUAUGGGAAUAAAAUGUUCCACGUGUGGGAUUUUGUAUGUACCAUAUGAAUAAGGAUCGGCUAACUCCGUGCCAGCAGCCGCGGUAAUACGGAGGAUCCGAGCGUUAUCCGGAUUUAUUGGGUUUAAAGGGAGCGUAGGUGGAUUGGUAAGUCAGUUGUGAAAGUUUGCGGCUCAACCGUAAAAUUGAAGUUGAAACUGGCAGUCUUGAGUACAGUAGAGGUGGGCGGAAUUCGUGGUGUAGCGGUGAAAUGCUUAGAUAUCACGAAGAACUCCGAUUGCGAAGGCAGUUCACUGGACUGCAACUGACACUGAGGCUCGAAAGUGUGGGUAUCAAACAGGAUUAGAUACCCCUGUAGUC
rnacentral:rRNA from 1 species